rnacentral:rRNA from 1 species
AUUGAACGCUAGCGGGAUGCCUUACACAUGCAAGUCGAACGGCGUGGCGAACGGGUGCGUAAUGUAUAGGAACGUGCCCCGUAGCGGGGGAUAACUACGCGAACGCGUAGCUAAUACCGCAUACUCUUGGAGCGGCCGAUAUCGGAUUAGCUUGUGGGUGGGGUAACGGCUCACACAGGCGAAGAUCCGGAGCUGGUUUGAGAGGACGACCAGCCAAACUGGGACUGAGACACGGCCCAGACUCCUACGGGAGGCAGCAGUGGGGAAUUUUGGACAAUGGGGGAAACCCUGAUCCAGCCAUCCCGCGUGUGUGAUGAAGGCCUUCGGGUUGUAAAGCACUUUUAGCAGGAAAGCGGUACCUGCAGAAUAAGCACCGGCUAACUCCGUGCCAGCAGCCGCGGUAAUAC